CAGCGCCGCCAGAGCCCGCCGGUCCCCCCAUUCCCGCCGGUGUCCUCAGCGGCUCCCCGGUUCCCUCAGCUCCGCCGGUGCCUUCAGCGGACCCAGGUCCCGACGGCCCCUGAGCGAUGCCGUCCCUUCAGCGGCUCCCCGAAUCCACCCUACAAUUGCAGUCAGCAUCGAUAAGGACCAUUCUCCAUCCCCUCGUCCAGCAAAACUCCAAAGUGUUCCACCGCGGAGUUCCCACGUCCUGCCGCAGGGCAGAUCGAACCCUAGGGUGCUCGUAUGAGCAGCACAACCAAUACUUGAGCGCGAGUUAGUUUCUGCUCACCGGGAGCCAUAACGAAACUUCUGCAGGGGGACAUUCUUGGAUCAUUCACUAAAUUCCCCGAAGAUUCAUUUUACGGUGAACUGGCUUUAUGCCCAGAUCGGUUGCUCUCCGAUUAGUAACUCCCGGCGUCUGCGCCCCUGCCUCAUUUAGGAAGUUUGCAGACGAUCUCUUGGGUCCUGUCGGGAUGGAAAUGACGGGCUCCUGAUGUUUAUCAAAGAGCCGUUGCAUUGCUCACCUCGCAGGGCGGGGCGGUUCACUGCCCGCCCCGGGGAUGCCACUUUUUGGUCGGGAUAUUUGCGAAGUCAAAUAAACCCCGUUCUGGGGCCGAGGGC